CCCUCCUCUAGACCUCCCCAGCCUCUCACCCGAGCUCGAGAGCCUCUCCCCGACCCCCAUGGCCGUCGUGCGCGCCGUCGGCCUCGGCCUAAAUUGGCUCAGUGCCGGCCUCCCCUCCUCAUAAUUUCACCACCAGAACCACCACCACACUCCGGCGACCAUCCCCACCUACUUGCCUCGUCGCCGGAGCCACGUUUGGCCACCGCCCCACGAACGGCCGCCGCCGCCCCGUCCUCUGUUGUCUCCAAGCCGCGGCCGCCCUAGCUCUCCCCGGUGCCCGUUUCCUCUCUGAAUGGAAGCGGCGUGGCCUCCCGAGCCCACCGGUGGCUCCGCCCUCGCCGGAGACGGUCGGAGCCGGCCGGCCCAUCGCCGGUGACGCGCCCUCCCCUGCCUCCUCUGUCCCGUGCGGGAACAGGGCGAGGAAGAAGAAGACAGAGGCCAGGCGGGCCUAACUCCCCACGCAACCCCACCUGGCAGCCACACGCGUUGACCCCGCCCCCGCCACAUCAGAUAAGUGGCGACGUACUUCCAAUGAGUACACUUUCUAUUUCUGGAAAGCGUAUUUUGGUUCUCCUUCAACCAGAGUCCGUUUUCUUUCACUAAAAGCGUAUUUCUUUCUGUUUCAGCUCAGAAUACGUUUCCCGGAGGCGAACACGUAUUUCCUGAAGUGCGUGUUCUGUUUUUCCGGCUGAGGGCCUGUUUGUGAUGAUUUUAUUUACAAAUGGUCCUUGGCAGAAAAGCAACUAUAUCUUUUUGCUCGUAAUUCCGAUUAAGCCCCUCCGGAGAGGAAUGUUUUCGGCAAAUCUUUCCGCGAUCCUUCUCGCACUUCUCCCCGGUGCUUUCUUCAUCCCCAGGCAAGCCACAAUACCCACUUGCAUCAUAGUCAUGUAGUAGCCAUGGUUUUGAACUUCAAUAUUUAAUCAAUGUUUGCUCGUUUAAAAUAUGGUUACCGUUGUUCCGGUGAUGCUUAGAGUUUCAUGUUCACUCUCGUGCUAUGUCGUCUUGCACUUGGUUAUCAUCAUGUAUUCCUGCUAGUAUUCAUUUCAUAUGCUUAUGCUUUCUAGUAGUACAUGUUGAUGUCGGUGAUGGUCUUCGGUGCAUGACUGUCGUCUGUUUCGAGUGCCGUUGUUAUGCAUGUUCCUUUGCAUCCAAUUGGUUAAAUGCUUGCAUGGUAGCAUUGUUGAUAUGAUCUUGCAUGAUAUUUAUUGUUGAUGUUAGUGGUCAUGCUAUGUUUCUGAGAAGUGUAUACUUGUGAUGUUCAUGCUAGUCAGUAUGCCAUGCUCAGUUAGAUAUAUGAUUUGUUGUGGUAUUGUUAAGAAGUAAUGAUGCACAACCAUGCUUAUGUUGGUGUCAUGCUCAUGUAUUGUAGUUGCAUCAUGUUAUUUUCAUAUGACUCAGCUUAUUGCAUUCAAGUUUAACCGGACUUAAUUGAACUUGAACAAUUGUUGGCUGAGUCAUGGUGCCAGCAUAUCGAGCUGACAAGUGUAGCCACAUUUGCCUUUAUGGGGAGGCCGUUAGUCGUGCGUUGUCAUGCCUUUUGUAUGUGCCUCCAAUGAGGGAAGGUUAUGGGCAUGCGUUACCCUGGCCCAGUAAGCAGACAUAACCUUGUGGACCCAUUGUUGUAAUGGUAUUGUGUCCCCGUUUGGGACUGUUUAUUUGCCACGACGGUGGUAGUUUUGCCUUUGGUAGGCUGGGUCACCCAGGACUAAGCCCAGUGGGGAGUUGGUCGGAGUGGUCGUAAGAGUGUCAUGGCAAUGGGAGAGUUCUAUCGGAAUGCCGUUGGUCCACCCGAAUGGGAGUGCGAGGCCAUGGGUUUCGUGGUGUGGGUAAAGUGCUCUACCUCUGCAGAGUGUAUUAAAUCUAUCGAUAGCCGCACCUGCGGAUAAGGGCCCAGUUCGUAGUUGGUCACACUAUGGGUCAACAGUAAUAAUAAUAACUUGAUUUAUAACAACCCUGGUUCGAUGAUGAGAAAGAGAUUGGUUGUGAUCGUGAGAUGAUCACCGUGGUAUCGAGGAUACCGAGUUGAUGGAUAUUUGGUUGUGAUCGUGAGAUGAUUACCGUGGUAUCGAGGAUACCGAGUUGUUGGAUAUUCAUGAUGUUGUGCGAGAAUCGUGGGUAAAGAUCAAGCUCCUUGUGGCCAUGUAAUGAUUACUAAGGUAUUGUUUAUACCAAGCUUGAUUUGAUCCUGAGAUAAUCAUGUGAUGCCCGAUGUUGGUAAGUGAUGUAUGUGAUGGUUACGAGGUAACCCGAGCAGAGUAAGUCGAUGCAUGAUAGCUUCAUCAUGUUGCAUGUUGAAGGAAAUAUGCCCUAGAGGCAAUAAUAAUGUUAUUAUUUAUUUCCUUA